UGUGCUGAGUUUGGUUGGUGGGCAGCUGGUUCUACGACUUCCAUCUGGGGUGGUGUAAGAGUUGUAGAAGGAUACAAAACUUCCAGCUUCACCCAUUUUUUAUACCGGAGCCUUUUUUUUACUUGAUAUUUUGAGGUAUAACUAUUAAUGACAGAAGUGCACUAGAGUCUUCUUAAACAUAGGUCCUUGAAUUACUGUUUAUAGUUGCGAAUGUGCUGAUACUUUGGUUCAAUUUAGCUUCUGGGUACAUGGUGGUCGUGAUUUUACAAU
rnacentral:sRNA from 1 species